UACGUAGGGUGCGAGCGUUAAUCGGAAUUACUGGGCGUAAAGCGUGCGCAGGCGGUUCGUUGUGUCGGCGGUGAAAGCCCCGGGCUCAACCUGGGAAUGGCCGUUGAAAAUGGCGAACUGGAGUGUGGCAGAGGGGGGUGGAAUUCCGCGUGUAGCAGUGAAAUGCGUAGAGAUGCAGAGGAACACCGAUGGCGAAGGCAGCCCCCUGGGCUAACACUGACGCUCAGGCACGAAAGCGUGGGGAGCAAACAGG
rnacentral:rRNA from 1 species